CUACGGGUGGCUGCAGUGGGGAAUAUUGCACAAUGGACGAAAGUCUGAUGCAGCAACGCCGCGUGGAGGAUGACACAUUUCGGUGCGUAAACUCCUUUUAUAUAGGAAGAUAAUGACGGUACUAUAUGAAUAAGCACCGGCUAACUCCGUGCCAGCAGCCGCGGUAAUACGGAGGGUGCAAGCGUUACUCGGAAUUACUGGGCGUAAAGAGCGUGUAGGCGGGUUUGUAAGUUGGAUGUGAAAUCCUAUGGCUCAACCAUAGAACUGCAUCCAAAACUGCUUACCUAGAAUAUGGGAGAGGUAGAUGGAAUUUCUGGUGUAGGGGUAAAAUCCGUAGAGAUCAGAAGGAAUACCGAUUGCGAAGGCGAUCUACUGGAACAUUAUUGACGCUGAGACGCGAAAGCGUGGGGAGCAAACAGGAUUAGAUACCCUAGUAGUC
rnacentral:rRNA from 1 species